AAUAUAAUAGUUUAUACCAAAACAUAUUACUGAAAAUAAUAAAUAGAACUAAAUUCUUAUAUUA
rnacentral:tRNA from 1 species